GACGAACGCUGGCGGCGUGCUUAACACAUGCAAGUCGAACGCUGAAGCUCAGCUUUUGUUGGGUGGAUGAGUGGCGAACGGGUGAGUAACACGUGAGUAACCUGCCCUCUUCUUUGGGAUAACGCCCGGAAACAGGUGCUAAUACUGGAAAUUCACUGAUCUUCGCAUGGGGGUUGGUGGAAAGGUUUGUUCUGGUGGGGGAUGGGCUCGCGGCCUAUCAGCUUGUUGGUGGGGUGAUGGCCUACCAAGGCUUUGACGGGUAGCCGGCCUGAGAGGGUGACCGGUCACAUUGGGACUGAGAUACGGCCCAGACUCCUACGGGAGGCAGCAGUGGGGAAUAUUGCACAAUGGGCGAAAGCCUGAUGCAGCGACGCCGCGUGAGGGAUGGAGGCCUUCGGGUUGUAAACCUCUUUCGCUCAUGGUCAAGCCGCGACGUGGGUUGUGGUGAGGGUAGUGGGUAAAGAAGCGCCGGCUAACUACGUG
rnacentral:rRNA from 1 species